GCUUUCGGUCGCUCUGUCGCGGGGGCGUUUCGGCGCUUCCGAGGAAAGUCCGGACAACGUAGAGCACCACACCACCUAACGGGUGGGGUCCGGUUUCGGCCGGGCACAGCGAGUGUCACAGAAAACAACCGCCCCGUCAGGGGUAAGGGUGAAAACGUGCGGUAAGAGCGCACGGCGUCUCCGGGCAACCGGAGGGGCGGACAAACCUUGUGGGUUGAAAUGCCGCGUACAUCUCGAUUCUUCCCUUUCGGAAGAGCUGGGUUGCUCGCCCAGUGUGCCUUCCCCGGAAGGCCGUCGGGAGGGGUAGGCAGCUCGACCCUGCUCGUGAGGGCAGGGCCAGAUAAAUGACAGAGGCUCCCCGCCUCGGGGAGUACAGAAUCCGGCUUACAGACCGGAGGCGAUG
rnacentral:RNase_P_RNA from 1 species